CCCUUAGAUGUUCUGGGCCGCACCCGCGCUACACUGGCAGGUUCAUCGAGCUUCAUGCCCUGAUCUGAGAAGAACGGGAAAUCUUUGAACACCUGCCGUGCUUGGGAUAGAUGUUUGCAAUUAUUCAUCUUCAACGAGGAUUGCCUUGUAAGCGCACGUCAUCAGCGUGCAUUGAAUACGACCCUGUAUUCUGUACACACCGCCCGUCGCUCCUACCGAUUGAAGUUUUCGGUGAAUUUACUGGAGAUCCCUUUUGAAGGUGGUUCGCCACUGGAAGAAGUAUUCAAAAGUAAAUGAAUCGAAUGCUUUAGAGGAAGGAGAAGUCGUAACA
rnacentral:rRNA from 1 species